GAAAGAAAAACAAAUACUAAGAAUGCCACGUCCUUCCAAAAGCUGCGCUUUCGGUCGUGCGAUGUAUCGCUGCCGUAGCUUUCCUUGUCCAGUGGCAAUGUCUUUGUGACCCACAUCCUGUGGG
rnacentral:sRNA from 1 species